rnacentral:misc_RNA from 1 species
UCCGAGUUGACCCCGGCAGUCUCCCAUGAGUCCCCACCAUUACGUGCUGGCAACAUGGGACGAGGGUUGCGCUCGUUGCGGGACUUAACCCAACAUCUCACGACACGAGCUGACGACAGCCAUGCACCACCUGUGAUGGUGUCCCGAAGGAAAGGUGUGUUUCCACACCGGUCACCAACAUGUCAAACCCAGGUAAGGUUCUUCGCGUUGCGUCGAAUUAAUCCACAUGCUCCGCCGCUUGUGCGGGCCCCCGUCAAUUCCUUUGAGUCUCAAUCUUGCGACCGUACUCCCCAGGUGGAACACUUAACGCUUGCGCUGAGCCGCUGACUGUAUAUCGCCAACAGCAAGUGUUCAACGUUUACGGCGUGGACUAC